rnacentral:lncRNA from 1 species
GAAAGAGCUUCAGGUCUCUGAGCUUGACCAGUGUUUCAGCUCUCCCUUGGAGUCCCGGGAAACGUAUCUCUUGGGAUCAGGAGCUGGGAUGGAACCCAGGGCUCCUGAGAUGGGACAAAGCUAUGCUCUGUGCACCUGUCUUGCCUCCUCACUUUGUACAAUGAGUGUGCCUUCAGCCAAAAGCAGAACUGGAAACAUCCUAAGUGGGCCGGUAACGAGGCUAGCUCUGUCGACUAGUUCAAGACCCCUGAGCGCUUUGGGCCUGAGGUUCCUCAGCUUCCAAGUGAAAGGCUUCGACUUGGCAUUCUAAGAGACAAUCUCUGUGACCAUCAGUUUCCUCAUCUGUAAAACUGGCAUCAUGAUAACUUUGAAGGUAAUUGUGAAGAUUAAAGGGAGUCAUGCAUGUAAA